CGUGUGUGUGUGUGUGUGUGUGUGUGUGUGUGUGUGUGUGUGUGUGUGUGUGUGUGUGUGUGUGUGUGUGUGUGUGUGUGUGUGUGUGUGUGUGUGUGUGUGUGUGUGUGUGUGUGUGUGUGUGUGUGUGUGUGUGUGUGUGUGUGUGUGUGUGUGUGUGUGUGUGUGUGUGUGUACUCGUCUGAGAAAUGAGCUCCUGACCACAGGGACUGUGUCAUAUAUCGUAAUCAUGUAACAAGACGGCCACGUUCUGGUGGGUGACGUGCAGUAUGCGGCUGAAACCUGUGCUGUAGCUCAGCUGGGCUAAUAAGACCACCAGAGCCAUCAAAACCAUGUGUCACAGCCAAGGUUGCGAGUUGAAUCCCCGCAUGCCAUGCUGGUGACAUUAACCACAUGGGCCUCUUUCCUCAGCUGCCUCACGCCAGCCUUCGGUGCAGCAGAUACCAGAGCUGGAACACUAUUAUGUUCCCUAAGCCUCAAUUACAGCAUGAAAUCUUAUCUCCAACAAGCUAAUGUUCUCCUUCAAAACAUCUGAAGGGCAAUUGGCCACACAAGUAGGAAAGAUGGAGAGGAAAUCAAAGAGCGGGGAAAUCAAAAGAUCUCUUUUCAGAACUUUUUUACCUGCCCUAUUUCUUUUUUUCAUUUCUAGUUUGUAUCAUUCAACUGAUUUCAUCCAAGGACCCUAUUAACCCUCAGCAUGAACCUUUGUCUGCCUCGCAGGGAUCCUCAUCUCUGCAGGAGAUGAGGGAGAUGGGGGUCAGCUGUUUUUAUCUGAGCGCACACUGUAAGGACCUUGUCAAUCCGGUCCCAGGUGAGGUGGCUGUAAUAGCAUUUUCUGAAGGAAUCCUGGGACAGCGGGGCUUGGGUCAGCAUGUAGAAGAGGAGGCCGCUGUGGCCAGGGGAGUGUAAUACAAUUACAUCCUGUUAAUCAGUGCUGCCUCAGCUAACGGCUCCCUCAGUCACUGCGGGUCUGUUAAAUCAGAUCGGCUCGGAAUCCUUUAUGGGUCAAACGGGUCUCGAUGCUGCUCGCUCGUUUGAAUCCAGGUGUGGCUUUAACGGUAUCUUUGCAUAUUGGACCGGACGUUUUGCAACAUUGGCAUUCAAAAACGCACACUGUUGAUACUAAAAGCACAGAGCUUUGAGUAAUACCAACUAUGCAAAUGUUUCCCAUGUAAUCUAAUAUCAGAUCAUUUAAUCUCAUGAUGUUGUAAUAAAUGCCAUAUGGUGCUCAGCGUGACAUGCCACAGCUGUGGAUGUAGGCCAGCCAAUUCCUUAUCGCACCGCGCUGGCUCUAUCCAAACAAGGACAACCUGUCUGGGACCUGAUUGUCUGUCAGACUCUUGUGCAUUUCAAUCAGUCAUCCCCUUAAUAAUCUUCUUGUUAUUGAUCACAGUUGGGAAAUGAUUCUCUUGCUCCUGAUGCAUGUCUCUAUUAUCCUCUCGCUUUGACUUGGACCACGUAAGAGCAGUUAUUGGCUCUGAUUUGCUGGUGAUGCUUCUUUUCUAAGUCCCUUGAAUUAAGCGGGUGGUUGCAACCAUUUGGUGUCUGGUGACUUCACUUGCUGUUAACAUUACCAGAAAUAGAACAGUGCAGUAAAUAAGGGCUGCAGUGAAGUGCGCUUCGUGCGAGCCGGGCUGAGUCGCGGGCCUCUUUGUGAGGCGCAGUGGGGGUUAAGUGCUGUGCGGUGCAGGUACAGGUACAGGAGCGUCUCAGCUGAAAGAGGACAUUCGUGUAUCUUUCAAGCUGCAAGCCGUUCAAAGAGGCCUGGGUCUAUUCUGUUCACGGGAGCUCUGUACGGAUUUGCACCGAAACACUGACACUGUGGAUGAUGAGUGCUGCGAUACUGCGAUAGAUGACGGUGGGCAGGAAUGAAAAAGAGAUCCAGAUUGUGAUGAAGGAAGACGAAGUAAAGCCAGAAGCAGCGGCUUCGUCGGCCUCGUUCCCUAUGAAAGCACAUGCUUUACGUCUGGAGGAGAAGCUUCUGCAAACAAGACGUUUAACAGGGCUGUAAUCCUGCAUUAGCUAAUGUUGUGCCCUGAGUGUCUCACGUACCUGUGCUGUCAGUCACUCGGAAUAUAAAUGUCUGUUGAACUCCACAGGGACGGAAAUGGGGGGUCAGGUUGCACUAAAAUGUGCUCAUAGUACAAAGAGCAAGCUCAUUGUUGGAUGUAGAGAUAAUAGUUGAACCGUGCUAUUAAAAACAGAUCUCCUAAAACAACA